rnacentral:rRNA from 1 species
UACGUAGGGUGCAAGCGUUAAUCGGAAUUACUGGGCGUAAGGCGUGCGCAGGCGGUUAUGUAAGACAGGUGUGAAAUCCCCGGGCUUAACCUGGGAACUGCAUUUGUGACUGCAUAGCUAGAGUACGGUAGAGGGGGAUGGAAUUCCGCGUGUAGCAGUGAAAUGCGUGGAUAUGCGGAGGAACACCGAUGGCGAAGGCAAUCCCCUGGACCUGUACUGACGCUCAUGCACGAAAGCGUGGGGAGCAAACAGG